GCCCCGCUCCGCCGUGCGUUCGCCGCGCGCGCCCGCUGCCCUCGGGCGCCCGGGAAACUUCGGGGCCGGGGCGCGGAGAGAGCCGGCUGGCUCCGUCGGCAGCACGGUUCCCAGACUGAGGACGGGGGCUCCAGGUGGGAUCCGUAUGUGAUGACAAGAGCUGUAGCGGCCACCUUGGCGUCAAGGAUGAAGGUCAUAUCUGGAGGAUGAUAGCAUCAUCUGAUCUUUGAUCUGUUACAAGAUCUCACAUUGGAGCAUAUUUGCUUGCCUCAUUAUUUUCCAUACGUAUUACUCCAUGGUAUGUGAAGUGAGAGACUGUCUCAUUCCAAUAACUAAGGAAUUGAACCACCAUAUUGUGGACAGCCCUAUGGAGAGACUUAUGUGGCAGGAACUGAGACCUCUGGCCACAGCCCAUGAGGGCCUGAGAGCUGCCAACUGCCAAGAGAGUGAUGGUGGAAGUAGGUCCUUCUCCAGUCAAGCCUUGAGGUGCCCACAGCCCUGCUGAUGCUGUGAUGACAAUCUUGUGAGACACUGAGUCAGAGGCUGUGCCUCACAGAAACUGUGAGGUAAUGUUUGUUGUCAAAAGCUGCUAAAUUUGGGGAUAAUUUGGCACGUAGCAAAGGAGAACGAAUACAUCAUCAAAAUGGAAGAACUAUUUUGCAACCGAAACACGGUACUAAGACACCAAGUUUCCUCUAUCUUUUGCACGUGUGAGCUUUGCCAAUGAACUCACUUAACCUUUCUGACUUCCAUUUCCUCAUCCGUCAUAUGGGGAUAGUAAACCCCAAAACCCCAUACAAUUGUUCAUUUAUUUAACCUUUCCUAUAACACUCAUUAGAGAGUGUCCUACUCCACAAAGUGGCUCCAUUUCUUGCUUGUGGAAAGAAAGCACCUUUGUGAGGCUGUGGAAGAUAAAAUACCAGGUUUUGAAAUGCAGAUUUUGUUUUGGGAAGACUCAAAUUAGAUCAGUGUGCUCAUCCUGACUUUGUUAAAUAAGAAUUCGAGGCCAAAUAUGUGUAAGUGUUGCAGGAUUUU